rnacentral:lncRNA from 1 species
AUUUUUCGAUGAACGAUUUAAAAAAAAAUUAUUCAAAUCAUGAAUCGUUUUCACAAUCAAUUGCAAAACAAUAAAAUACAUAAAUUAAUGAUAUGCACCCAGAAACUUUUGACCUAGAAGAAAACCUUAAGAAGGCCAAUCUCAUCGACCACCACUUCAUGAAGCAAGUCCUUGAGGAGAAGAUUCAUUUACAAUAACUAUUUAAGUAAAAUCUUUCUCUUAUAGAAUAACGAUGACAUUUUCAGAUUAAUGUUCCAGAGAAAAAAAAAACUAUAAAAGUUAUCCAUAUGCACCUAAAAACCUUCGACAUAUAAGAAAAACCCUAAAAAGGCCAAUCUCGUUGACCACCACUCUAUAAGAAGAAGAACAAGACGAGGAAGAAGAAGACCAAGAAAAAGAUUACGAAGAAGACAUUUCCUAAACUAAACGAAAAUCAGGAGGAGAAGAAGAAGAACAUAUCAUGAAUCGAAACAAAAAUUAUAUAUAUAUUAGUAUUGAAAAGAUACCUUGUCUGAAGAUUUUGAAACAGAGGAUUGUGUCUUCGUCAAUGGAGAUUCUCCCAUUAUGUGUAGUAGUUCUCUGAGCAAUGGUUGCACUCAGGUUUAGGGUUUAUAGACUCUGUUUUGUAUUGUUAACUUGAACCAAAAAAAAAAUGAAGAAUACUAAUCUGAUUACUAAUUUUUUUUUUUUAAAUUCAAUGUCUAUUACUGUCAUUUUGUAUGAGGUUAUGUUUGUAAUCCAAUAAGUCAAAACAUGUGGAGAUAUACUGAGCAAAUCUGGAGGUCCUCCGUUUCAAAGAUUCUCCCAUUAUGUGUAGUAGUUCUUUGAGCAAUGGUUGCACUCAGGUUUAGGGUUUAUAGACUCCGUUUUGUAUUGUUAACUUGAAACAAA